GUGGUAACAAGGUUUCCGUAGGUGAACUUGGGGAAGGAUCAUUA
rnacentral:rRNA from 1 species